GAUGAACGCUGGCGGCGUGCCUAAUACAUGCAAGUCGAGCGAACAGAUGAGGAGCUUGCUCCUCUGACGUUAGCGGCGGACGGGUGAGUAACACGUGGAUAACCUACCUAUAAGACUGGGAUAACUUCGGGAAACCGGAGCUAAUACCGGAUAAUAUAUUGAACCGCAUGGUUCAAUAGUGAAAGACGGUUUUGCUGUCACUUAUAGAUGGAUCCGCGCCGCAUUAGCUAGUUGGUAAGGUAACGGCUUACCAAGGCAACGAUGCGUAGCCGACCUGAGAGGGUGAUCGGCCACACUGGAACUGAGACACGGUCCAUACUCCUACGGGAGGCAGCAGUAGGGAAUCUUCCGCAAUGGGCGAAAGCCUGACGGAGCAACGCCGCGUGAGUGAUGAAGGUCUUCGGAUCGUAAAACUCUGUUAUUAGGGAAGAACAAAUGUGUAAGUAACUAUGCACGUCUUGACGGUACCUAAUCAGAAAGCCACGGCUAACUACGUG
rnacentral:rRNA from 1 species